GAUUGAGUGUAAGCUGCUAUAUGAAGGGAUCCACAAGACGAAUAAUUAAGGGGGACCUCUGAUCAACAGCCAGCAAGGAACUGAAUCCCUCAGACCCACAACUCACAAGAAACUGAAGCUGAAGCAGAUUCUUCCUCAGUCAAGCUUCAGCCAAACUGACAGGGGUUUGUGAAUCAGAAUGAUGGCUUUGCAUUUUAGCUUAGGGAAGGACCUGCUUUGCAGAAAGGAUCUCAUUGAGAAUAGCAAAAGGAAGUUGGGAACCAUUACAGUGCCCAGCUGUAUUGGUAGAGGAGACCAACCACACCCUCCACAGCACAGCACCUGGAGAGGAACUGCUGCCAUGACCAUAGAGGACACCCUCUGGAUACAAUGCCAGACUUGAUGUGGGACUGACCAACCUAUGGACCCCAGGCACCACCACCCAGACCUGCUCAGCACCUGAAACAUUCACAGCCGUGGAGAGAGAACUGUUCACUGCUACCAUCCACACUUCUGGGCCCCUUCAGCAGCAGGGUGACAAGGAAGAGGGAAAUCGACUUGGAAAAGAGGGGACCUCUGACCCAAGAGUUCGGUCAAUGCAUAUGUUGGCAGCCAGCUGCACAUCGCACCAAAUAUGAACUUCAAAUAGAAGAAAGCCUCAUUUGGAAGAAAGCUCAUGCACAGACUGUAAAUAUUUCAGAGCAGAUUGUGUCUCUGUAGAUUAAGUAAGUUGUGAAAGUCUGAACCUCUGCCAAAAUUUUAAGACCUUGACCUUUACAUCUCUGAGUUUCUAUCUGUCAUUUUUCCUUUCUAUCUGUCAUUUUACCUUUCAUACUUAUAAAAUGGAAUUCAUAA
rnacentral:lncRNA from 1 species